rnacentral:rRNA from 1 species
AGUCCCGUAUGCGAAAACAAAUGCGUGGUACUGAGCUAACGACAAGUAGGGCGGGACACGAGAAAUCCUGUCUGAAUAUGGGGGGACCAUCCUCCAAGGCUAAAUACUCAUCAUUGACCGAUAGUGAACAAGUACCGUGAGGGAAAGGCGAAAAGAACCCCGGGAGGGGAGUGAAAUAGAUCCUGAAACCGCAUGCUUACAAAAAGUAGGAGCCUCGAAAGGGGUGACUGCGUACCUUUUGUAUAAUGGGUCAGCGACUUACAUUCAGUGGCAAGGUUAACCGAAUAGGGAAGCCGUAGAGAAAUCGAGUCCGAAUAGGGCGAUCAGUCGCUGGGUGUAGACCCGAAACCAAGUGAUCUAUCCAUGGGCAGGAUGAAGGUGCCGUAACAGGUACUGGAGGUCCGAACCGACUAAUGUUGCAAAAUUAGCGGAUGACCUGUGGAUAGGGGUGAAAGGCUAAACAAACUUGGAAAUAGCUGGUUCUCUCCGAAAACUAUUUAGGUAGUGCCUCAAGUAUUACCAUCGGGGGUAGAGCACUGUUUUGGCUAGGGGGUCAUGGCGACUUACCAAACCAAGGCAAACUCCGAAUACCGAUGAGUACAGCUUGGGAGACAGAGCACCGGGUGCUAACGUCCGGACUCAAGAGGGAAACAACCCAGACCGCCAGCUAAGGUCCCUAAAAUUGGCUAAGUGGGAAACGAAGUGGGAAGGCUAAAACAGUCAGGAUGUUGGCUUAGAAGCAGCCAUCAUUUAAAGAAAGCGUAAUAGCUCACUGAUCGAGUCGUCCUGCGCGGAAGAUGUAACGGGGCUAAGCCAGUUACCGAAGCUGCGGAUUUGCAAUUUAUUGCAAGUGGUAGGAGAGCGUUCUGUAGGCCUGUGAAGGUGGUGGUGUAAACCCUGCUGGAGGUAUCAGAAGUGCGAAUGCUGACAUGAGUAGCGUUAAAGGGGGUGAAAAGCCCCCUCGCCGUAAGCGCAAGGUUUUCUACGCAACGUUCAUCGGCGUAGAGUGAGUCGGCCCCUAAGGCGAGGCAGAGAUGCGUAGCUGAUGGGAAACAGGUCAAUAUUCCUGUACCGAUUACAAGUGCGAUGUGGGGACGGAGAAGGUUAGCUCAGCCAACUGUUGGAUAUGUUGGUUCAAGCCUGUAGUCAUGCCUGGUAGGCAAAUCCGCCGGGCUAAGAUGAGGGGUGAUAAGGAGUCUGCUUGCAGACGAACUGAGUGAUACCCUGCUUCCAGGAAAAGCCACUAAGCUUCAGCUUGUAAUUGACCGUACCGCAAACCGACACUGGUGCGCGAGAUGAGUAUUCUAAGGCGCUUGAGAGAACUCAGGAGAAGGAACUCGGCAAAUUGAUACCGUAACUUCGGGAGAAGGUAUGCCCCUAUUAGGUGAACUUGAACAAAGGGAGCCGAACGGGGUUGCAAAAAAUCGGUGGCUGCGACUGUUUAAUAAAAACACAGCACUCUGCAAACACGAAAGUGGACGUAUACGGUGUGACGCCUGCCCGGUGCCGGAAGGUUAAUUGAUGGGGUGCAAGCUCUUGAUCGAAGCCCCGGUAAACGGCGGCCGUAACAAUAACGGUCCUAAGGUAGCGAAAUUCCUUGUCGGGUAAGUUCCGACCUGCACGAAUGGCGUAAUGAUGGCCAGGCUGUCUCCACCCGAGACUCAGUGAAAUUGAACUCGCUGUGAAGAUGCAGUGUACCCGCGGCAAGACGGAAAGACCCCGUGAACCUUUACUAUAGCUUGACACUGAACAUUGAGCCUUGAUGUGUAGGAUAGGUGGGAGGCUUUGAAGUGUGGACGCCAGUCUGCAUGGAGCCGACCUUGAAAUACCACCCUUUAAUGUUUGAUGUUCUAACGUUGACCCGUAAUCCGGGUUGCGGACAGUGUCUGGUGGGUAGUUUGACUGGGGCGGUCUCCUCCUAAAGAGUAACGGAGGAGCACGAAGGUUGGCUAAUCCUGGUCGGACAUCAGGAGGUUAGUGCAAUGGCAUAAGCCAGCUUGACUGCGAGCGUGACGGCGCGAGCAGGUGCGAAAGCAGGUCAUAGUGAUCCGGUGGUUCUGAAUGGAAGGGCCAUCGCUCAACGGAUAAAAGGUACUCCGGGGAUAACAGGCUGAUACCGCCCAAGAGUUCAUAUCGACGGCGGUGUUUGGCACCUCGAUGUCGGCUCAUCUCAUCCUGGGGCUGUAGCCGGUCCCAAGGGUAUGGCUGUUCGCCAUUUAAAGAGGUACGUGAGCUGGGUUUAAAACGUCGUGAGACAGUUUGGUCCCUAUCUGCCAUGGGCGUUGGAGAUUUGACGGGGGCUACUCCUAGUACGAGAGGACCAGAGUGGACGUACCGCUGGUGUACCUGUUGUUUCGCCAGAAGCAUCGCAGGGUAGCUAUGUACGGAAGAGAUAACCGCUGAAAGCAUCUAAGCGGGAAACUUGCCUGAAGAUGAGAUCUCCCGUAGGUUUAACCUACAUAAAGGGUCGUUGA